rnacentral:misc_RNA from 1 species
UGUCUGGCCGAUUUCAGGGCUUGU